rnacentral:rRNA from 1 species
AUGGCGACGUCGUGGGCCGACCUCCAUCCAGAUCUCCUGGACCUUGUCGUCGCCGAACUCGUUUACCCAGGCGACCGCGCCCGUGCCCGCGCCGUGUGCCGUUCAUGGCACGCCGCCGUGCGACGCCAUGGCCCCCAGGCGGCCAAGCUACCAUGGAUCGUCUUCCCUGAUGGUGAAUUCAUCACUCCCACCGAUGGCAGCAGAUGGGAACGCCCCGACUCCGUCCCCGACAAUGCACGAUGCUGUGGCUCCGCCAACGAGUGGCUACUCCUUGGCAUCUACGAGCCGACCCUCAUCUACGUCCGGGAAGACGAAGACCAUCCGCUCAUCGUGAUUCUACCCGGAAAGGGUGUGUGGCUGCCAGCAGAACCACGAGUAGCUCCAUAUGCUUAUAUAAUUGACAUUGCCUUCUCUCGAGACAAACUCUAUGGCAUCACUGAGGCGGGGGAUCUCAUCCCCUUUGACCUAGGGUUGGAUGAGGAUGGAAAGCCUCUGGUUACCAUUGGAAAGCAUGAUGAGGACAAAGGUGGGGAGGAGAAGAUGGAGGCGGCAGUGGACGUGGCAACUACGACUCACAAUGAGGUGGUCGAUGAUUUUGAUCAAGACUGGCCAACAAUGGCAAACGAUGACGAUGACGGUGAAAAGAACUUCAAUUAUCUGAACUGGUCACAUAUUAUUGGUGUGGAUGACGAAACCACUAGCCGACACCUGGUCCAGUCACGCGGGGAGCUUUUCAUGGUGAAGACACGCACACAAAUGCUUACCGAUUAUACAAUGUCAACUCGCCAGGUUGAUAUUUUCAUGGUCGAUGUUAACACACGCAAAUGGGUACCAAUGGCUGAUGGGCUCGGCGGCGGUAGAGCACUCUUCAUCGGCCCAGACUACUCCAAGUUUGUUUAUGCACCCUGCGGAGAUGUCGAGGAGGAUGCCAUUUAUCUUAUGGAGUUGGGUGAGGCCUUCAAUACGAAGACUCAAAAUGCUAAGCCGACAAGAUUUUGUGAGCCUUGCUGCUACAAUGAUAAUGGAAUGUGGCUCUUCCCCCAGAGUUGGUUAUUUAACAGUAUAUGA